rnacentral:rRNA from 1 species
UGCGUAGGCGGGAGUGUAAGUGGGUGGUGAAAGCGCUCGGCUAAACCGGGCGAGUGCCAUUCAGACUGCACUUCUAGAGGCGGAUAGAGGGGUGCGGAAUUCCGGGUGUAGCGGUGAAAUGUGUAGAGAUCCGGAGGAACACCAGUGGUGCAAACGGCGCCCUGGGUCCGAACUGACGCUGAGGCACGAAAGCGUGGGGAGCGAAC